CGCGUAGGCGGAUUGUUAAGUCAGUUGUGAAAAGCCCUGGGCUCAACCUAGGAACGGCGAUUGAAACUGGCAGUCUAGAGUUUAGUAGAGGGAAGGGGAAUUUCUGGAGUAGCAGUGAAAUGCGUAGAUAUCAGAAGGAACAUCAGUGGCGAAGGCGCCUUCCUGGACUAAAACUGACGCUGAGGUGCGAAAGCGUGGGGAGCAAACG
rnacentral:rRNA from 1 species